GGGAAAAGGGAAAGGAGUCAAUCUUUUCUUCAUUUUGCCCCGUUUCUGUGAAAGUGACUCCUAGGCCAUUGGUCGAUUUUGGUCAACUCUGAAGUCAAUUAGCAAAACAUACUUCCUAACUUUCAGAGAAGACAACUGCAACCUGCUUGUCUGUCCAGAUACAUCUCCAUUUCCUUCUUAAACAUUCUCAGCAGAAGCUCUUUCACCCCUGAGGACAACUGGGAAAAAUCCUGUUCUUCCAACACAUCAGCCUGUAAUAGAAAAAGUGCAGUGUGAGCUGGAAACUUUGCGCCAGUCUCUGGAAGCAGCACGAACUGACAACAGUCGCCUCCAUCAGGAAAGUGAGUUAGUGGUUGAAAAUGUUAAUCAGUGGAUCAAAGAACAAAAAAUUACAGGCUGUUAAUUCCUCUGGGAUCAUUGCUUCCUAUCAGAUUAAUUUGAAUUGACCAGCAUUUUCAGAAGUUACUGUGUAUGUGUGGACAGAAAGAGACAUACCACUGAAUGUGAGGGAUUUGAGUUGCAUACUGAACAAGAUACAGUCACCCUCUUCUGUUUUCUACUUCACAUGAGCACUGCUUGGCUAGAUGCUUCAAGUACUUGGUUUGUAUUUUUGAACACAACGAGCAAAGAGAUUCAAUGGCUUUGCAGACGUUGACCAGCCAUGUGACAACACAGCUUGUGUGAAUAAAUGUUUUUGACCUUAAUGAAGUAUCUGUGGCUGUGUAUGAUAUGAAAAAGGCUGAUACCCAUAAUGAACAUGACUGAAUUUCUUAGUUCCAAUUAUGUGCAAAAAUGUGAAUGGAUAGAUCUGUAGACCAUCCUGGAAAAAAGUGAGCAAGGAGUAAGAUGAUGCAAAUACACUUCCUCAGAUAAACUUGCACUUGAAUCUAUAGCCCUAAUCUACACAACAAAGUUAAGGCAGCAAAUUUAGUGUUUGAGAUUUCAGAGCACGUAUAGAAAUACUGACCUUUAGACAGAAGUGUUCUCAAUAAUAAAUACAAGAAAGCUGAGGUCUCUCUAUAGCAAUUCACACACUUGCAAUUUUCUUCUUUCUUUUUUGUACGGCCAAAUUCUGCAGUCCUUGUUCUUACAAAACUUGCCAUAUUAAUUAUUAAUAGGAAUUUUGUUCAGUUAAUAAUGACAUAGUUUGGGUCCUUUGUUCUCAACAAUUAUUUAUUUUCAGUCUGUGAAAUUCUUCACUUAUAUCUUCUUGUAGUUUUGGGUCAUGUAAGCUUUGAAUUUCGUCAUGUAAUUUCUCUCUUAACCUCAGUUGUCAUAUAGAAUGUAUAACUUUUACCUGCAGUUUUGUCUUCAUCUCAGUUUCCCUUUCCUCAGUAUUAACUCUCAUUAGUCCCUAGCUGUCAAUUUUAGUUUCUAUUAUUGCUUUGAGGAAAAACACCAUAAUUAUCUAGAGCACUGAAUAUUUAUUGGCUAGGUUAACAUUUAGAUUCACUAUUGCAGAUAUUAAUAUUAAUAAAGACUUUUUCAAUUCAGAAAGUUUAAAUCACUUCUCAAAUAUUCUGAUCUUGUGUUUGAACUUCUUUAAAAUAUUCUGGGGAAUGAAUUCAUAGAAAAGCUUAGUUUUUUUAUCAGAGAUAUAAAAUCAUCUUACUAGACUCAACUCUUCUCAACAGGAAAAAAAAAAGACUAAUGAUUUGUCAGCAAUAACAUGAAGACAGCAUUCAAUAGUAAUUAGUGUGCAAGAAUGAUUGCUCCUUUAUGUAGACUGAAAUUGAUUCAAGUUAUUAACAGGGGUGUAAAGGUUAAUCUUUGCACAUUCAGGCUUAUACCUUCCUCUUAGUGAUCUUUCAGAAAAGGGAAAUUUAUGUGUUUUUUUAUGCCAUUUUGUUUGUUUGUUCAAUUUUUGUGUUUAUUUGUUUUCAGAGAAAAGGGGCUGGAGAAAGGGAUAUUUCAAUGGAAAAGGCCUAAUUAAAGUAACACAAACACUUUAUUUAAAAUCAAAUGUUUGGUAAAAAUUCCUAGUUCACCACUGUAGAGGUUCCCAUUUGCCAGCGAGCUCCCUGGCAAACAAUUUCCAGGCAGUAAUUUGGAAGUAGGUAUGAGCAUGGGAUUAAUUCCAUACAGGUAGUUUCCACCUAGUUGAUUUUGUUUGUUUGUUUGUUUUUGUUUUUGUUUGUUUGUUUGUUUGGGGGAGAAUAAAAGAUUACAGAUGCAGGUCAGCCAGUGCCUUUUGGCCACUGUGUCUGGGAAUGCCUCAUAGCAAAGUUUAAUUUACUAAGCUAAGUGUGGAAAUACAGAUUGGGGUCUGAUGGUGCUACUAGAUGUUACAUAAUCUAAGCUGCUCAUUGCAGCCACAGGAGGUGUUCAGCUCCAUCUUGGGCACCAUGAUAGUCUCCUGAAUACAGAUCUUCAUGGUUAGAAAAUGACCUGUUUUGUAGAUCUCUAUUUCUUUUUUGUUUGUUAGUAGUUAUGUAGCAUAUACUGUAAAAUCACAAGGGUGGCAUUGUAGAUGUACCACAAUAUGUUCAAGGAAAUGCCCUGAAAACAGAAGAGGUUGGGAGUAGUAUAAUAAGUCAUUAAUCUUUCUAAUGUAUAAGAUUCUGUGAAAAUAAUGUUCAAGAAUGUAGUUUUUUUGUUUGUUGGUUGGUUGGUUGAUUGGUUGGUUUUUGUGAAAGACAUUAUCAGACACAGCAAACCAUGAUAUUGAUAAGAACAAAUCAGUUUCAUGGUAUAAGUGUUUAAAAAUAGAAGUUCCUUUGAACUCAGUGAGAACUAGAUUUAAUGAAGUUUAAAUUGGAGCAAAUGGAUUAGACAUGUAAGAGUUAAUCAUCUGGAAUGGCAAUAAUAUGGAAUAGAGGCUCCUUCUUUAGAAAGAAACUGCUUGAAUGAAAUCAUGCAUCUUGAUGUUUAUUGUUCUUUGACUGAGGCCUGCACAUGUAUAUUUUUAAGACUAAAUUCUGAUCCAAUUAGGUAAAUGUCAAGGAUUUUGAGUUUUCUGUCUUUAAGAUUGUCGGUUAUAUAUGAAAGUAAAUUGUCUUUCUGCAGUCUUGUGGAAAUGCAGCCUGGCAGCUCAGCAAGGACCUUUUUUGUCAUUCUACUGCAGCUGUUAAUACACUGCAAUGAUCUUGUAAUAUUUCUUUUUGCUAAAGGAAUUUCAUAUUUAGCAUGAAUGCUAAUGUUAAAUGUAUCUAGAAUAAUAUUAUCUAAAAUAAAAAUGUCUCCUUUCUAAUUUCACUACAGUUCUGAAGGUUGAAAUAGUACGUAAGCAAAUUUUCACUGUUAAUAUUAUCAAUAUUUUUUAUUUGAUUCUUGAUUAUCUGUAGGUUUUCCUUAAAGAAGUUAAAAAUCUGUCCAUGUUAAGAAAGGGAAGUGAGGGUAAGUCUUGCAACUACUUCAGUGACGUACACUAGUUUAAUUUCUGUUUUCCUAUUGUAAUGUCUGCAAACAUUAAUUCCUCUUCUAUUGAAACCGUGUUGUUGAGUAUAUCUUCUCUAAAAAGUUACUUUACUGUAUGCAUCAACUGAAUACUGCCAUAUCUCCUGUAACUCAUUGUUACUGCUGGGUUUACCUAACUUAUACUACUGAGAUAAUGAUUUUGUCAUCUCAGCAAUGAACAAAACCAUUAUGGAAACUGUGAAAUCCACAGCACCUCAAAGGAUAUAGUAAUGGACAUUUUGUUAAGAUUUUCAGUUAUAAAAUUCAUACAGAUAUUUAUCAUAUUACUAUGUAAAUAUACUGAUGGCUUCUUUGAUGGAUUCAAUUUCUGAUGGACUUGAGUGUGGAAGAACAGCUGUACAAGGUGAAACCACAGUUCUAUCCAGAACAGUGUCUUGUCUUUGAGCACUGGACUGUAGCAAAUAAUCACCUAAGGAUAUAAUUGUGUUUUGACCAGUAUCAUUUCUUAGCAAUUUCUAGCAGUCUUCUAGAAACAAAAUUUUUGUCUAUGGACUUACAUUUAAUAAAACUUGAUUGACUUUUAUUUCAUGAACAAAAAUCUUAUGUUUUUGAGAAAAAAAAGUUUAUUGUAGUAGAUAUUCAAAGUGUAGCUUCUAAUAACUUUUUAAAUGAGUGGUUAUUCCUCCACAGAUUUAAGACUUUGCAUUUUCUGUUACUGAACUUCAUUAGACUUCUUCAAUCCCAGUUAUCCACCUUAGGUAGGUCCCCUUGAAUGGUAGAACAAAGUUAUGGUGUAUCAGCCACUCAGCUCUGUUUUGUUUUUUUUUUUUUUUUUUUUUAAUCAUCUGUAAAUUUGCAGAUGGUGCAUUCUGUACCAUCAUCCAGGUAAAUAACAAAGAGAUAAAACAGUACUAGUCUCAAUAUUAGCACCUGAAGUAAUUACUACUUGCUUUCAAACUUUGUGGGGGUGAAGCCUAUUUGAAGGUGUUCUAUUCUGUGAAGGAGAUUUGGAGCAGAUUUUUAGUUUCCUCUAGAAGUAAUCUUUGAUUCAAAUGAAUAUGCAGUAGUUCAGGAGUAGCAUGGAAGAAGUUUAACCAUGCAAUGUUAUUCCAAGCAAAUAUACCAAAUUAAAUGCUCUAUAAAAUUGAUCAGAAAAAUAAAAUCCUUAUGAUUGGUAUUUGUCUACACUGAAGUUGGAUGCAUCUCAAAUGUUGUAGAGGCCAAAGUUAUAUAACAGAAAUCCAUAUUUAAGUAAUGCUUGAAGCUUGUGAAGGAUCAAUAUGUUAAUCCAUUAUUGGGUUAUAAUCUCCAUUAAAAACCUGAAAAAAAUAAUAGUAUAAAAUAAUAAUUAUUAUUACUUUUUUUUUUUAGAAGCUUUCAAAGCCGAAAUGUACUAUAAAGGACAUAAGCAACAGUAAAGAUUAUUAUUAGCUCUUCUGAUUAUUCAGGUAACAUCUAUUGGCUUAGUCUUCAUCAAUAGCCCUCAUACCAGUGUGUCUUGGGAAAUGUUUAGGGAACCACAUCUUACAACUUCUUUUAUUAAAAUUUAGCCCAUCACAGCCAUGGGGACUUGAGUGUUCUCUCCCCGGAAUGGUGUCUUCUUCAUUUGACCCUUUUAAGUUUGCUUUUCUCUACCUCUGUGAAUAACCAUGGGGAUAAUGACUGUACACUUAUUUUUUCCUUCUAUUCUUCUGAAGAUGCUCAAUUGAUACUUAUAUUUAUAUUGUGAUCAGACUGUAUUACUUCACUACUUCCUUGUGUCAUUUAGACUGUUAUACUUUGAGGCUGUUUCUUCUCAUGAGAUCACUGUAAAUUAACUUCAAAAAUGAUAUUAAAAAUAUUAAUUGUUCAGGAUUCCUUCACAAUUUAUAACAGACAUCUGAAAUAGUCCUGACGAAGAGUCUAAAUGUCAUAUAUGAACAAAAAGACCUAUUUAAGAGUAAAGUAAUCAAGACAGCACAACUCCAAAUCAGUGAAAACCCAUUUUAGUAGAUUGAAGUGACUCACAGAAGUCACAUUGCCAUGACCAUCCAGAUGAAUUAUUUUAUCUCCAGCCUAGCUAUGACAGCUUUUACACCGUAUUUCUUGAAGGUUUCUUGUCCUUCCACUCUUUCUUAUGUUCCCCUAACUCAACUUUUUCCAUCACAACUCUCUAAAUUUUCAUUGUACCCCUGAGAAUAUCUAUAAUGGAGAAUUUAUGAUGUGAAAUUUUGGAGGAAAUAUAGUGAGAGUUCUGCAGCAGAUCUUAUUAAUCUUAGUCUGCAUGGGCAUUUGAUACAGCUAUUACUGCGGAGUUGCACAAUCUCCCAUCCCCUCUUUGCUCAUGUUGGGUACAUACCUGCACACUGCAAAUUGAACAGUGCAAAAUUCCAAAACAUUCAGAAAAAGGGUUCUACAGAGAAACAUAAGAUCAUCAGACUUCCAGUGAAAUUGUAAUACAAGACAAUCAUUCUUGCUUUGUUUAUUUUCAUGCUAAUUACAAGUGCAAUUUGCUUUGUGUGAAAUUGUUUCAGAAUUGAAGUUUCAGUAGAGCAACUCCUGUACUGCACCAAAAUUUGGGGCCUUUCACAUUUUUUUGGAAUACAUGGAGUAGAAGAGUCAUGUGUACAAACUGCAGGGGUUAUUGCUCUGACUACUAAAUGUUUUGUGGUUACUUUUGUACUAGGGAUGGGAUUGAGACCUCCAACUCAUUUCACAAUAGACUAUUGAAUAGCCAUCAGCUGAAGCAAAUUUCAGUCAGUAGCAACCUGAAAUGCAAUUGAACUCAAUGACCUAGAGGUGAAAGGCUCUGUAUCUCAUUACCACUUCCCUAAACCUUCCAGUCCCAGAGUAUUUUCUUCACUCUUUUGAAAAGAAACAUCUAUUGUGCAGAUAUAACUGCUAUUGAGUAUCUUAGUCAUUUAACUUUAGAUUGUUGAGUUUCAUUAUUGUUUAUUCCUUUGUCUCAAGCUGAAUCAUUUUCUAUGAAUCAGAUAAAGCACUAUAAUUAUGAUAUCAUUUAUGAAGGAUACAUAAUUGUAGCUUUUCUCACUAAAUCAUUGAAACAGUGCAUUUUUUUCUUGUUAAAUAUUACUUUAUUUUCAGAUGUAGCUAUUACAUCAUUCUGUUCAUUUCUAAAGGAAAUAGUUUUAAGGUAGAGAUCCUAUGUAUUUCUCUGUAAGUAUCUGAAAUAUUUGUUAGUUUUAACCAUAAAAUAAAACUUUUGAGGGACACUUUACAAAAUUACCUUUGCUGUUCAUACAAUUAUUUUAAGACAUGUCUAUUUUAAAAAUUAUAAUGGGAGAGAUUCCAUUUUAAUUUUCUUUAGUUUACUUGAAAAAAAACAGAAGGUUUUCUAUAAAUGUUAGGUAUUUUUUGGUCCAUCUUAUCUAAUGUAUCAAUAGCCAAAUUGUUUCCCUCCUAAUAAUCAGUUCAUACCUUGGAAAGGGAAAGACAAUGAUCCAAAACAUUACUAGUUAUGAAUCAAAAUAUUAACUUUUUCUUCUUCCCAGUGAGGUCUUAAUUCUGGAGAUCUGUGAUGUACAGUUGUCGACGGUUUACGGGCUGGUCCGGCCCAGUUCCGUGACUAGUGGAGCGAAGGGAUUUUUUUGCAAAAUCCGCGCCUCCAGAAAAGGGAAACAGGGGACGCCCCAAAAAAAGAAUAAUUAAAAAAAAACAGCGGCAACGAUCUGAGGAGAAACAAACUUGGCAAACUUGGCCUUGGCAAAAAAAAAAAAAAAAAAAAAAAAAGAUUAACUGUAGUUUUCAAACAAUCAACAAAGUAGCUACAAUUCAGAUAAUAUCUCCAUAGUUUCCCUAUGCUACUUUACUCUCAAAUCUCAACUCUGUCUACGGGGAUGAGAGGGCAGUGAAUUGCCAAGGCACAUUAAAUUCUUGACAUCUCUUGCUAGAAUUGCAAACAAAGGUACAGUUCUUUCAGUAAGACUGUUGUUCACCAUUAAACAUUUUUCAUGAAGAAUUUUAUAUUGCAUUCGUGCAGUUUAAAAAGACUUAAAGUCUCUCAAAACACCAAACUCUCUACAGAUGGUAUAUAAUUAAAAAUACUUCCAUGACUUCACCUGUAGAAAAAUGAAGAUCCUAUAUUUUACCUUAUACUGUUGUCAUGGUUUUAUGAUUUUUGGUUAUCGGCAUUCCACAUCAUAACAUCAUGCAGUGUACUGGGAGUUAAAGAGCAAAUGCCCUACUUCCGGGUACUUGUCCGGAAGGGAAGAACUACGUUCCCCAGAAGACUGUUCGAGUACUGUUAUCAUUCCUGCUCAGGGGAACAGAUAUAAGGCCUGUAGGUCAACUGACUUGGGUCCUUCUUCUCAUCUCAUCGUGCUCGCUUUCAGAUCAUCUCACUGCUGCUCCCGACUGCAUGCGAGGCUUCAGUAUUAGUGUAAGGUCUUUAGCUCUUGGACAAUCCUUCUCUCAGUUAUAUUUGAUUUUAUAACAAUUAUAUUGAGUUAUAUUGUAUUAUAGUGUGUUAUCGUGCAUUCCAAUACUAUAUUUAGUAAAUUUGUUUCUCCUCAGAUCGUUGCCACUGUUUUUUUUAAAUUUUUCCUUUUUUUUGGGGGGGUCCCCUGUUUCCCUUUUCCAGAGGCCCGGAUUUUGCAAAAAAUCCCUCCGCCCCACUAGUCAUGGAACCAGGCCGGACCAGCCCGUAAACCGUCGACAACCUGUUAAUCCAAAGUGUUCCUCAAGCAUUAAAUUCCCUUUCUUUUUUUAUUAAGCCAUUCAUAUUAGGUUUAUAAAAAGGCUGAACUGUUUUUGAAGUUGCAAUAAAAAUAGCAGGCACCACUAAAUGGAAAAUGAAAAAGGGAAUAUAUCCCACCCAAAAGAAGAAUUUCUUAUAAUGGGAGCUCAAUGAAAUAAACAUUACAGGGAUUUCAACUCAAGCAGCUUUAAUUUGCCAUAAGUUUUAAACAUCAAGGCUUGUUAGCAGGUAUAGUUGUGGGAAAAGGAGGCCACCUUCCAUAACUUACUUGAAGGAUAAAAGCAGUUUCGCAUACAUAUGCAUGGGAAGCUCUGUUAUUGUAUUUUUCCCUUCACCAUUGCCAUUAUUUAUUUAUUUGAUAUUAAGUACCACAUUCAUAAAAAAAAAUGGAACAGCAUGCGCAAUACCUGUUCUAGAUCUCCCAGUUUCUGUAGGAUUUAUUUUGUAUGUUGUCUCUGUAUUCUGGUUGUUCUCACUGAUUCCUUCCAUGUCACCAUCUUUCCAUAUUGCCUUGUCCUUUUUUUCCAGGAAGAAAGCAAAAUAAGCCUUCCAAUCCUUAUCAGUUCUUUUCUUCCUCUUGAUUUAUACCAGACCACCUCUAAGUCCCAUGUUACAACUACUGUCAUGGAGGUCAAGGAGCACUUGAAUGGACACUUGCUGGAACUCAGAAAAAUAGAAAUGAUUUUUCCGAAGCAUCACUGUAAACUGUAGAGGAAGGCAUGAAAAUCUUUAAUAAAUCCUCUGUUUGUGAUGAAGUGCUGCUUUUUUUCAGGACUGAUUAUUCAGAAUAUGUUUAGUUUUUUUUCUGGAUUUUGUUUUAUAAACAAAAUAAGUUAUCUGAAUUCAGAGAAAAUACAAGAGCCUUCAGAGUAUUUUAAAAUAUAUAAUAACCUUCACAUAGGAACAUUUGCAGAGAGUAGUGGGAGGUUAAGUCUGUGGCAAAGAUGAGGGUAGAUGUAAUAACAGAGACUGGAUAUAAGAAUACAAAGUUUAAGGGGAAGAUUUGUGCAUUAGGCUAAGAAAUAAAAGAGUACUAACAAGACAGAAAGAGAAAGGGUGGUAGUACUUUCUAGCUGUAACUCCCUUUUCAUUAUCAUUGCUUUGAGAGAGAAGAGAGUGGAGAUAUCCCUGGUCUCACAUGGUGCAAGGAUUGUCUUUGAAUUUGGAGUGCGCCAGGGAAGAUUCAGGUUGGACGUUAGGAAAUACUACUUCUCUGAAAGGGUGGUCAGGCACUGGAAUGAGCUGCCCAGAGAGGUGGUGGAGUCACUGACCCUGGUGGUGUUCAAAGAGCGUUUGAAUGUUGUGUUGAGGGACAUGGUUUAGCAAGAACCAUUGGUGAAGGGCGAAUGAAUGGUUGGACUGGAUGACCCUGUAGGUCUUUUCCAACCUUAGCGAUUCUAUGAUUCUAUGAAUGUAAUGAUUGAAGGCAAUGACUGGAGGUAACUAUUGAAAGUAAUGUUGAAAAUCACCUGACCCAAAGGUUCCUGAGAUACUACUCUCAGCUUCCUUCUAUCAUUUCUUAAGAAAUUCUUGUAAAUUUUCUGCAAAUUUUGUUAUUUCUGUGCAUGCACACGAUUCUGGAAUCAAAGUAGAAGUAUUUGAAGUGUCCUCAUUACAGAGACAGCCCUUCAAUCAAGGCACAAACUCACAUCAUCUGAGGAGAUAAUAUGUAAUCUCAUUUCUUUGAUUUAACAGACACUUUUUUUUUUUUUUUAAGGUAACCAUUCUGUCGAUAUGACUAUACUAAAAACUGUUACUGUGAUAUUUUGUUUUUACAAUGCCAAGUAUAUAUAUUCUUUGCAACAUUUUGGUAUGGCUUACACUACUAUUUGCAUACUUCUAACAUGUACAGCUGAAGAAGAUAUUUACACGAAACAGCGAUAUUUGUGAUAAUAAUCAUCUAGAUAACAUUUCAGAAGUCACUUAAUUCUCUCUUUCAGGUGUAACAUCAGUUAACUAAGAGGUAGUCCUAACAGCAGUCUAACAAUAUUUCUCCAACAUGGUGGGCCUUCUGCUAUCAACAAAGCAAUCAUUUGAGGAGUAGGACUAUAAAAAACAUUUUAAUUCUAUUUCUUAAGAUUUUACUUGAUUUCAUCUAAGUACCUGUACUGGGUUUACAUGGACAGGCUUUGGUAGCAGGAGGGCUGCAGGGCAGCCUCUGUAAGGACAGGCCAGGGUUGCCCCAUGUCAGACACAGCCAUUUCCAGCUGGUUCCAACAGCCCCACUGCAGGAUGCUGCUGAGCAUGGUACUUGCCAUCUGUCACACAGCAUCAAAGUGUAGUGUAAUUUUGGCAGGAAGGUUCAACAUCUACUGACAUACCACCAGCAUCUGCCUCUGACGUCAUGGAUGUCAACAGUUAAAAAAAACACGAGAGUGGGCCAACAUAAUAAAAUAGGAGGCAUUACUUAGCUGCCCUCGUAUUUUUUAGCUAUUAAUAAAGACACAAUAAUUUUAAUAAAUAGCAUUUGGUUAAAGAUAUUCUGUUGCUUUUAUACUUGCCAUCUUAAAUAAAUUAGCUUUUUUAACUUUAAAAAUAAUUUCAUACUUGUAGGAAGUACUUAUAGAAUCCAUAGCUUUCAGCCAACCUUUGUGUUAAAAUCACCUGAGAGCUUCUCUAAUUAACUUUAAAGAGUUUCCUGCCUGGACUGUUAGUAUUCUUUUGGAUUUUUCAGUAUGUUUGUUUACCAUUGUCUUGUCUUUGGUCCUGAAAAGAACUGUCAGCAGUUUGAUUAUUAGAUAAACAGACAUUUUUUUUCAUUUCUCAUUGAUGAUGGAAAGAACUGAAGAUAUUCUACCUUUUUGAAUAGUAAGCUGAAAGAACCUCAUAAAUGUUGAAAUUUCGUAUGAUGUGCUUAUAUUAUUUUGUAUGUUAUUUAGUCAAAACUUCAGCUUGUAUCACUCAGAUCAUAUCACUAGGUUUGAACUGUUCAUGAUAUAAAUUAUAAACCAUAUUUUCAAUUUCUUCUUAAUGAAGCUUUCUUAGUGAUCUAUAACUUCUAGAAUACAAAUUAUUUUCCACACUGAUAAACUGAAGACAAUAUAAUUCACUUAGCUGAUUUUUCCAUUGACUUACGUAAGUUGGCAUCAUUCUACUUUAGCUGUGUGCAUCUCAUUCAGUCUAACAGUUGCUUUGGUGUUUUGGUUCUAUAAUACACAAUCGAUAAUUAUUUUCUUCUUUUAGCUAAGAAAAGAAAAAUAUUAUUGUAAGAGUUAUUAGGAUAUAUGUGUUGUUUUUUGCAAGAAAGAGUAAAAAUAUAUUUCGAGGUUUUCAUUAUAUUGUCCAAAAUAUGUCCAUAACAUUCAGAAGACAACUCUAUAACCUUUGAACUUGUUCUUUAUUGUAUACAGUAUAUCAUCUAUAUUGAUGAUAUGCUGUAUCAUAAUUUUCUUGGCAUUAUUUUAUUGGAUUUUAAGUUAUCAUUAUGCUUUGUCGUCUGUUCCAUUACCUCAAAUAGCAUAAGCCACAUUGCUUUCAGUGGAUUUUUGCAGUUUAAUUAGUAUGCUGCUGUGCUGUUUUUAGUGGCAUGCUGCUAUGGUACCCUUAAUUGAAAUCUUUCUUUUAUGACUAUAAUAAUUAUAUCACCCUGAUGCCUUUAAUCUGGCACCACUAUAUAGCAUGUGGUACUGCCGUAUUAACUUCUUGAUGUUAAUCAUUUGGAUUAGCACCAAGGGAUAACCCAGAAUUAAAAAACACACUGGCUCCCCACUUGGACUAUUUUAUCAUUUCAAAGUUAUCUGUAAGGCCUGUGGCAUAAUCAGAGAUACCAGAAUAAGCAUCCUUAUGCUGUAGAUAUACAUUUAAAAAUCCUGGGAUACACGCAUCUUUUCCCAAACUUUGUAAAUCCCAUGAGAAGUGAUUCAUUAAUUCUUAUAAACUUUUCAUUUUUGUUUGUCUAAUGGGCUAGCAACUAGGUGCAAAUUGCACUGAGUCAGGUCUUUUCAUUACUUCACAAAAUAAAUAUUUUGUACAAAAGAUGAUGAACCCUUCACACGUUGUUCAUAAAUACUCUUCUGCUUAUUUUUAAAGUACUACAUCUUAGUGCUAUCUGGAGUACUCCAAAAGCAACAAAAUCAAACAAAAACAAUAUAAGCUUUUAUUUAUUUAUUUAUGUAUUUAUUUAUCCAGUAGCUGGAGAUAGGGAUCAGUGCCAUUUGGCACAAUAUAAAUACAUGCAUUAUUUCAGAUUAAUGCAGUAUAUACUGCAUUAAUCUGCAUUAAUGCAGAUGGAUGCUGGUAGCAUGGCAUUAGCGGCUGAAACUUCCUGCCAAUAUUCCAUUACAUUUUGUUGCCAUUUGACAGAUGGCAGCAGAGGGGCAGUCUGACAGAAUGGUUUCUGACACAGAAGCAAGUAUCAAGAGAAUGGGUGACACUGAAAUCCUUCAUGUGGAAAAAACAGCACCUGUUGACAUUCACUGAUUUUUGCUGAACAUUUAUGGAGACCAAACAGUGGAUGUGAGCAUGGUGUAAGGGACUGGGUAGUGUCAUUCAGUGGUGGUGAAUAGUGUCACUGUGAUCUUAGUAUCUAUUGUAGUUUCCAUAGAAGUAAACAGGAGGCAUUACUUUCAGGGUGAUGUAUGACAAAGUCCAUCCUACUUAUGAACACUGAUGCCUUGCCUUAUAAAUUUGUCUUCUAUGAUCUAUUUAGUACUGAGAAUUUCAAAGGAUAUUGUCUGCAAGAUGUAUAGUAAUUAAUUAAAUCUAGUUGAUUGAAAGUAUAUCUUUAUAAAGCUGAUGCUGAUAUUAUGAUCUUGGAGGAUGCAAGAGAAAGACACAGCAGCACUGAUGUAUUUUCCGUCUAGCUGCUGAGUCUUGAAUUUCCAGCUUAAACUGAAUGGCCACAGUGUUAAAGUUCAGGAGUGCUUCCUUCUGGCAAACACACUGUAACUCUGUUUCAGAUGCGAAGUUCCAUGUCAUCCAUGUCUUUCUUAGCUACAGGAUGAAUUGCUUCAGCGUACUUUUAUUAUAAAUGUUAUAAAUAUUCAUUAAUUAUGAAUAUUUAAAUCAGAAUCUGUCGUGGAUAGCUGCUAAGUUGAUUACAUUGAUUUGUUUUAACACCUGUUUGCAUUUUUGUUCAUUGCAUUAGUUUUCUAUUCCGUUUCUAUUCUGUGUAGAUCUUGGGGCUUUCAAAGCCAAAACUCUAAACAGUUCUCUGUUGCUCUGAAACACCACUUUUUUCUAUGAGAUAAGUAAGAUCUUGUAUCACCCAUUAUUGCUUUGAAUGUAAUAGAAUAAGUGCAUGAUUCUCCCCACUCAUCAAUUUAUGAUCAUAUAGGUGUUAAAGAUAUAUUAAUUUCACACACUGGGAUCUAUAAUGAUCAUGCUAAUUGGCAAAGACCUGUAAACUGUGGUGCAGGUCCAUGGUUGUUUGGGAAGCAGUGUAUCAUGACAGAAAUAAUGAAUUUUUGGCUCCUUGCAUUGCAUUCUGAAAUGUUAAAUUUUGUGAUAAAAAAGACUAAUCUGCAAAUGAACACAAGGAAGCAAUAGCAGCUUGGGAGAGACCAAAUAAUACAUUGUCAUGCUGCUUCAAGACCCAUCACAGGAGCCAGCAGCCAACCAGAGGCCCAUUUCCACAAGCCCACGGGCACAGGGGCUGAAGAGGAAAUUGCAGUAACCAAGGCAGAGAAGGAGAGCAUCUGCCUGACCCUGCUCCUCAGGAAACCUCAACCAUAUGGGUCAGAGGAAUGUCCAGCUCCAGCAGUCAACUGAAAGGCUGUACAGACCUUAAUAUGAGAUGGUGAGGGAAAUAACUAAGGGCAGAGAAAGUGGCAGAUAACAGUGGUUUGCCAGUGAACAAGCAGGAAGUUGGAAGGCUCUCUAUUCCGUGCAUAUGUGUGUAUGUGGUCCAGCUGGAGCUGGACCAUAGACAACAGGGAUCUGUGUCUGGAUGUCAACAGCUGAAGAUGGUGACAUUUCAUGCAUCGGUGUGUGAUCACUUCCAUCAAGCUGGAAGUGCAAAUGAGAGGAAAAAGAACCCUGGGAACUGUCAGGCUCUGGGGCUAAGGCAUUUGAAGGGGUUAACUUCCACAGGGAUCAGGGCUAAUGCCAAAGUGACCAUAGAGCCAGGGAUGGAAAUGAAAGCCUUCUUUUACAUGUGUGUACUUCUGUGUGUCUGCCUGUGUGUGUGUGCAUGUGUGAGGAAAUGAGUGCAGGAGAUCCAGGGACAAGUGACUGUAUCACACUGGUCUGUGGACAGUUACUGGUGGGAUCCAUACUAUGCAUGUGUGUUUGGGCAAGUAGCCUUUGUACCAGUAGCUGGAGUGGGGCUGCAGCCUCAGAGCUUGCACAUUCUGAUGCCAGACACUGGAGAGGGGACCCAAGGUAGCUACUGGGUAGACUGUGUAUCUAAGCACAGCUGCUGAGGGAUUCAAGUUAUUCUUAUGUAUAUAUAUUUCCCAGCAACAGUCUUUCAUCCUGAUCAGACAGUAAAGAAACAGGAUAAUUCCUGCUGGUGCUGUUUGUUUUUGUGCAAGUGCUGAGUGUUUUUGCUGACCCAUGUGGCCAGCUGUUUGUGUUCUACAUGUGUGUGUCUUCUGGGAAUACACACUCAGACUCACUGGAAUUAGGGAUGCAGACCUAUAGCAACCUCAACUCUAUCAGAUUUAGCAAACCCUAACAGUUCCUAUUCUCUCUUUGUUCUUCCCAAAUAUAUAUGAACAAUUCAAUUUAAUUUAGCAGUGACUCUUUUCCUCUUGAAAGAAUUAGUCGGAAUGAUUCAUUAUCUUCCACCAGUGGGAGAGAUAUCACAGAUGUAAACAACAGAGCUCAGGCUAAAAUUUCUUCCAUCCUUCCACUUGAAGCCUACUCUAUCACAGAAUCACAGCUGACCUUGAAAAUGAUCUCUGGAGGUCAUCUGAUCAAAUCUCAUGUUCAAGUAGUUGGAAAACUUAGAAGAAAAAUAUAUUUUAGAAUAUGGUUUUGCUAUGCCAGCUAAAUGCAGUCAAGGUAAGAGAUCUGUACCAUUUUAUAGAAAAUCUGUGUUUUAGUUUAACACACUCUUUCAGCAGUACUUCUCAUUCUCACAGAGUAUUUGGAAUAGUUCAGUGUUCCUUCUAUUCUAAAAUAUCAUGCAAACAAACUUUCAGUUAAGAUUUUUGGACUUCCUAGAUCUAUUGUUAAAAGAAGCUAAUGAUGUCAAAACUAAAUUCAAACAAAUGUAAACAGGAAACUUACACAUCAAAUUGUACUCUGUGAGGGUGUGUCUUGUUUAUGUUUUUUUUUCUAUUUCCUCAUUUCCUUGAUUCCUCUUUAGCACAUUUCUCUACCUUGAGAAGCAACAAUAUAGUUAAUUUUAUUUGUUCUAAAUUCAAUGAUAUAACUUAGGUGUAGAUCUCUGUUUUUAUAGGUGUUCUAAUUUAUUUUUUUUCUAAUUAUUUUUUAAUUGAUUUCACGUGCUUCAGCUCGGGAUCUGCUAUUAAGACAGUCUGGUUCUUUUACUGCAAAGGUAGAUCUGGUCCAUGUUAUGAGCUGGGCAAACGUUUCAUCCUAAUAGAAUCUACUUAGGGAACUCAGAUCCAUUGAAAUAUCUAUUACUCUACACUUGAUUUUAAUAAAAGCUAUGACAUAAUUUAUUCUGAAGGGGAAAGAGCCUAUUUCUACCACCUCAGAAGAACUUGUGUUGACACUUUCUUCUUUUUUUCACAUGGAGGUGCUCACCUUGUCCUCUAGUUUAAACAACAGCAGGUGAGGCUGAGAAAAUCUUCAUCAUCUGAAAGUUUACCACCAGCAUUUACUAAAAGGAGGGAUUACUUUCACUGUGCAACAACUUUUGAGCCAGACUCCAUAAAAAGAUCAAAGAUAUCUUUAAUGCAAGAGAUUUUAAUAUAAUUUACAAGAACUAACUACACACAUAAUAUGUUAUUUCUAUUUCAAUUGAUAAAUAUACAAUUAUAUUCACAUGUUUGCAUGAAUGUACUUCUGGCUAUAUGAAAAUCUGAAUUUAUAUAAAAAUUUUUGUAAUAUGAGUUUACAUAUAAAUGUUUUAUAUUUCACUGUGUGUGUAUAUGUAUCUCUACAUGGAUAUACAUAAUAUGCUUUGUGUAUUUUCUCAACAGACGAUGGUAAGACAACAUUUCAUACACCUGACUAAGUGCUAAAAAGAGGAAAUGAUUUACAAGUGCACUCCAAGCUACUGCCAGAAAAGCCCUUCUACAUCACAUAUUUCAAUCUGUUUUACGCAUGUUCCUGCAUACAGAUCUUGUAUACACCAUAUUGCUAUCUCAGAACCACUGCUUUUUUUAAACUGAUUCCUUCUUCAGAAUAUAUUUCUGACUGAAAUAUUCAUUUUUAUAUAUUUUUAUCAGAUGCAUUCCAGAAAGCUGUGAAGUUACUACAAAAGCCUAGCGUGUGAAUGCUACUUGUGUAGAAUUCUUAAAAUAUAAUCUAUUGAUCUGUGAGAAAAAAAUAAAUAAAAGCAUAUAUAACUAAGAUCGGGGAGAAACUCUGUAGUCUGCUGGUCAUUUUAAAGAUAAGAGUAUAUGUAUUUUUGUCUGUGAUCAACACAGAAUUUGGAAUCUGCUACAGAAAACAAGUCAUCAGUAGUUCUGAUUAUAAGAUUACGUCCAAUCUAAGUUUACAAGAGUUAAAUUUCUACUUUGAGAUCCUAUUUAGUUGGAAAAGACUGUUUAAUCUCUUUCAGAACAAUUGCAGUAGAAAUCCAAUUGUUCCUCCAAAUGUCUGUUAUAAAAUUCCAGCUACCUAAGCUAAACAAACACAGCUGAGAGCUGUUAGAUGUGUUUACCCAGAGCUUUUCAAAGAUCAAAGAGGAGUGGGAAAAAAAAUCUGUAUAUUGAAUCAAACUUUUUAUUUUACUUGAAAAUAAAAUAAAAUAAGUCAUUAUUUCUUCCUCAUGAAGUUCUCCCCAGAGAGCACUGCUUUGAAAGUGUGCAUAUUCAAUUUAAGGCACUUAGCCUUAGGAGGGACCGUCUCCUGCUAUAGAUGAAGAGCUUGACACUAGGUCUUGUGUUAAGUAGAGGCAUGUACCUCCUCUUCCCUUAGGUCUUGUUUUUCAUCCUGUCAAUGUACUUUGGAACCUGGGGUCUUCAUUCCUAUGCAGUUUUCUUAAAACGCUACCACUUGUAGGCUACUGUCACAUUAUUUCUUUUAAAAUUCUGAAAAUAUGGAGUUAGUUUUGUUCAGUUUAGCUUUACUGGGGGUGUGGGACUUAACAACAAAGGAAGAGAGUGUUAUUUUUUUCCUCCCUUGUGAUGUUAUUAUGGCCAUGUGCAUCUUGAUGACUUAUUUUAAAAGCUGCACUUCACAAGAGCAAAAAAUGCCCCUACCAGAAUAACACAUUUUAUGUUUACCGUACCAUGAGGAAAAUGGUGCCCUUAAGGGAGUAUUCUGUUUUAGCAUACAUUUUCCUCUGAGCUCUGUAGGAGAUGGCAAAGUGUCUCAAAGUCUUGCUCUGGGUACAGCUUUUAUCUCUGUGUUUAGGGCAGAGACAGAGAUGGUUCAGAUUCCUCAACUGUCCAAUCUUUUACAGAGUAGAAGCAGUUUAACAUUGAAAUGUCUCUUGUGUUUAGGAUAUGUAUUAUAAUCAAAUAUUUUGGUGCCUAAGCAACUGAUAUUUACUUGACAUUUGGUAACACCUUUUUAACAACUAGCAGUGGAAGCAAUAUUUCUAAGUAUACUAAGAGUAAUAUGUUAUCUAAAUAGAUUAUUGUUAUGUAUUUUGAUUUGUAAACAAAUGUCUGUGGAAAAAGACAUGGUUUCACUUUUUUGAGAUAUAUAUAUAUUAGUAUGCAUUAUAUUCCAUAUUGCUUAAGUAGGUGAACAUUUGAUUUCUCUGUAAAACUAGCAUUUUCCUCUUAGAUACAAAUAUUUCUUGAUCAUAGGAGGAAUCUUUCCUCACUCUUGUAAGUCUAUUAAAACAUACAAGUAAAAGUCAUAGUACAAUAAUGAAUAUCACAAACGUAAGCAAAGAUGAAUAUUGGAAUUCAGAAUUUUUUACAGAUCUUAAUCUGCUUCUGCUCCUUCAUUUUAAGUAGUCAAUUUUGUGUACAGAUUCUUUAGAACCAUGUUUAUGACUCUAUAUUACGGCCCUCUAGCGCCUAAAUUGCAAUAUAAUUCAAUAGAUUAUUAUUUUUAGUCAUGUAAAAAAUAUAGUAAAAAAGUAAUUGUACUUAAUGUUUGUAAAAGUAAAUAGUCUUUUCAGGUAAAUCCAGAAAGAAUUCGUCAAGUAAAUUUGGAUGGACUAAGCUGUGAAAUAGCCAAGCUAUCUAGGUGGGAUACACUGUUUUAAACCAAUGCAGAAUUUAUUCCUUUUUGCAGUCUCUCUGCACAAAGUCCUUCAAAGCACACUGCCAACUUGGAAUAAGAUGGAACAGAUGACUCUUCUACAACCCUAAUGUUUUUCACAGCAUCCAGAAGCCAUCUUACCAUUACUGCUGAUGUUGGUCUGCAUUUUCAAGCACUGUCAGCAUGUUUUUACAACUCUGUUUCCAACUGCAAACCCAGUUAAAGAAUCAGAAAGUAUUUUCUCCUCUGUCGCAACCACAGUGAUGUUAUGAAUUUAGGAGAAUUUUACCUUUCCUGAAGAACUCUAUUGCUUAAAUUGAUGUUCCAAAAAUUUGUGUGAAUAAGUGCUUUGGAAAUAUUUUCUUCAUGACAGAAAAAUGAUGGGAAGAACAGUGUCUAAGUAUAAAUGUGAAUGAUAACAUGGAUAUAAAGAGAUCUGAGCCAUUCUGCCAGUGGUCUGAGGUGGCAAGAUGCUAAAUUUAGAGCUUUAAGCUGAAAUUAUUUCUUCAAGGAUAUGUUAGUUUAAAACAGCUAUGCAACUUCUGCAUUUUAUCUGAUUUCCAUUGAAAUGCCUAGAAAUCACAGAAGAGGAGCUUAGGAGGUCUAGACCUCCUUCAUACCCUUCACAUGCUUAAGACUGAAGAACCUAUUAGUCUGAUGGAUUAAAAUAUCCUUUGUACUUUAGAGAACUCCUGCUAGGAUCUGGCAACAAACGUUUCUCUGGCUUAGCAUAUUAGGUAUCACUGGCAUGACAUAGGAAGAAAGAAUAUAUUUUUAGCUGGUAAAUUCUACUUCCUUGCACAGAAGUUGAAGAGGUAGUGUAUAAAUAAAGACAUAUUUGAGUACUAUAAAACUACCUAUGAGCUCAGGAAAACAGUAUAACCCUCAGAAGUUCUUUCAUGAUUCCUCAUAACCUGUGGCUUGAAAGGAGUAGUAAAAUGGGUUGAAGAGAACUAGUUCUGUUUUCUGACAUUUAUUCUUCACAUCCUCCAUUGAACAUGGUAAAAAAAAUGAGCUCUGAGCUGAGAAGUGGUUAUCUACUGUUUCAGUGAAACUCAAUAAAUUUGCAAGUUAUGUUUUGAAACACAUCCUUCUUUAUGUAUAUUUUUCACUUCAGAGACUUGCCGUCACCAAAUGUCAUAAGGUUUAUUAGUCCAUCAAUUACAUUUUUCCCUCUGUUCUUCCAUUUACUUUGACAUUAUGUUACAUUUAAUUUACCAAAUAUUGUGUUAAUGAUAUUACACUGAGUAUAUAAUUUAUCCUUUACAGUUAAGACUGUGUUUAUAUUUUCUAAUUUUUUUAUUUAUUUGAGCUCUAAAAUCUCUUACCGUUACUACUUCUCUUCUCUGUAGGUUUGUUGUUGACAUUAUAAUUAGAUUGCUUGAUAAAAUUCCAUUUAACCAUUUCAGGCAUGGAACAGGUAUUUAAUGCUUGAUUAAAAAGACACUGUACCUUUCAAUCUAUUUCAUUUUAACGUUCAGUUAAAAUAUUGGAAAAUAGAUAGGAGUUAUUUUUGCAAAUAUUUUUUUCCUAUAAUUUAUUUUUCAUUUUCAUGGUUUCUGGGGGAGGGGAGUGUUCUGUCUCUUAUUCCCCUGUCAAAUGUUCAUACAACAAAAGAAACACCACCUGAUUGCCUGUGUGAGAGAAAUUGUGAAACACCAUAUGCCAAAAGCUGUUAGUAGCACAAAGUGAAAAGAUAGGGGAAAAAAAAACAACAAGAAAACACCACCACAAUAUCUAUACUCUGUAAUCUUCUUCGGCUAUAAUAACCUGAUGUGUUACUUUUAACAAAUGUGGAAAUGUUUGUUAUUUUUCUUCCUGAUAAAGUGUGACUUAUAAAUUGAAUCUGUCGGUCUUUAAGUGGAGAGAGAAAGCUCCUUCCUGAAAAUCAUUGGACCACUUACAAGUUACACAUUUCAUAUAUCUGAAAAUAAGUUUGAUUUAGGAGCUUGAUCCAGAAGUAUUUGCUAUAAAUAUUGGAGAAUAUCAAACAAUAUAUGGAUAACACAUUACUUCCUUCAAAGAUUAAAAGGUUAAUCAUUAAUCAUCAAAGAUUUACAUUUUCUAUUUUGAUUACUUGCAUUAUAAUACUUGAUAAUCUUUCAUAAAAUUGAUUUUUAGCUUGGAGAAGAGGAGAUCUCAUUGUGGCCUUCCAAUCCUUGAAGGGAACAUAUGAACAGGAGGGGGAAUGACUGUAUAUGGGGGUGAAUAGUGAUAGGACAAGGAAGAAUAGUUUUAAACUAAGACAGGGGAGGUUUAGGUUGGAUUUUAGGAGGAAGUUUUUCACACAGAGGGUGAUGAAGCACUGGAACAGGUUGCCCAAGGAGGUUGUGGAUGCCCCAUCCCUGGGCCAGGCUGGAUAUGGCUCUGGGCAUCCUGGUCCAGCGGUCUUUACGACCCUGCCCAUGGUAGUGGGGUUGAAACUAGAUCAUUGUGGUCCUUUUCAACCCAGGCCAUUCUAUGAUGAUUCUAUGAUUUACUCCUGUAUUCUCUUUCUGUCUAGCAUGUAAAUUGUUCUGCUCUCAAAAAAUGUUAUGGUCAAAGACCCCAAGAAUAUGCAAGAAAAUACCCAUUCUAAAUAUUUUCAUUAUUUUAAGAGCUGCUGAUUCACAGGACUUUGAUCAUUUGAGUAUACUCAGGGCUGCUUCAUUAUCUGACUCAACAAGGUUGAACAUUUCCCUCAUUAUCCCCUUCUAUAUACAACCAGGAACUAUACCCACCACAAUCACUAUGCUAAACCAUACAGGUAGCCCAUGUUCAACCAGUUUCUUACCAUUAUUCCUAUCACUUAGCUUGUCAUUGUUUUCCAAACACAAUCCUUCAGUCCUAUGAAUCUACAUUUUUUUUGUUUUUUCUAGAUGUAUUACUAUGUAUUUGUCUGCCAUAAAAUGUUUGCCGUUUGAUUUACAUCAAUUACACAAGGAAUCUAAAUCACUCAGUAAAACUAAUGUGUCAACAUCCUUAGAAUUUCACCAAUUCUUGUAAGAUCUUGUAAGAUUUACAAAACAAUUUACAAUUCUUGUAAGAUUUGUCACUGAAAAUGUAAUAUGUUGCCAGAUUAUCAGUGAAGAUGCUGAAUAUCUGUAGACAAAAAUUGUCUCUCAGAACAUGGGUUCCUGAGAAAUUCGAUGUUGAAUAUUUAUUUUACCAGUUUUAUAAAAGCGUGGCUUAUUUUAGAAUGAGGACCUAAACUGGGCAUAGUAAAGUCCUAAUUUCAAAUGUGUCGAAAUCAUACAGUUUCUGUGUCCUCUACCUCAAACAUAAAUAAAUGAAAUGGAAUUGAAAUAACUACUUCAAAAUAUACAUUCUUGUAUGAUGUAAUUCUUUAUAAAUGAAUUCUGUCUCAACUGUCUGCAAGUUAGAAUUAGGUUCCUAAAUCUUGUAGGUGACAUUAGAUAUUUGUUUAAGAAUAUGAAAUUUUUGAGUACGAAGUAGUCUUAAUCUCAUGUGUGCAUCUUAGUGGCUAAAUAAAAUUGGUGUUGAUGUGUGAACCAGGGCAAGGGUUUACAUGAAUUCAUGGUGAAUUUUGUAAUUGAUGUCAAAACUGUGCUUUAAAUUCUUUGUGGUUCUGUGCAUGUGUGUGUAGCUCAACGAAAACUCACAGGGAAUUCUGACUAGGUCUAAGUCUACUAGGAGUAAAACAGAAUUCAAAGAUGUCCUGCCUUUUCUCUUUAUUUUUAUUUUUAUUUUUAUUUAUUUUUGUGUACAGUAGGUGAAGAUGCAUAUGGUAGAAAGUGAGACUUGAAACAUAUACAUAGAAUAACACUUUGUGUCUCACUGAUUAUGAGUAUAUAUAAAGCCAAAUGCAUAAAAAUUACAGUGAGCCAAAAAUUCUAAUGUCUACCAAUCAGUAAAAUCUUUUGGAAUUUCUGUGUUUUUCAAUUUGUCUUUAAAAGAUUUUCAGUAUAUUCGCUGCUCCUUGCCCUUAGAUUAAAGUGAAAUAUGGAACAAAAUGAGAAUCAGUUCAAGUCAGGAAAUGAUGUUAAGGUUACAAAUGCAGAAUGAACUCUGCUUCCCUGUCUGUACAUGCUAUGAUAAGGUUGGUUGUUAUUUGAUCAUGUACAUCUUAGACUUUUGUCACCGAUUUAAUUUCAGACCAAAUCCAAACCAUGCAAAUACACACUGGGAAAAGUUUCACUGUGCAGACAAUAAUGCAGACUAUGAACAGCCUGAGUGAGCUAGGGUCCUCUUGAAAGUGAAUUGUGUUG
rnacentral:lncRNA from 1 species